GACGAACGCUGGCGGCGUGCUUAACACAUGCAAGUCGAACGGAAAGGCCCUGCUUUUGUGGGGUGCUCGAGUGGCGAACGGGUGAGUAACACGUGAGUAACCUGCCCCUGACUUUGGGAUAACUUCAGGAAACUGGGGCUAAUACCGGAUAGGAGCUCCUGCUGCAUGGUGGGGGUUGGAAAGUUUCGGCGGUUGGGGAUGGACUCGCGGCUUAUCAGCUUGUUGGUGGGGUAGUGGCUUACCAAGGGUUUGACGGGUAGCCGGCCUGAGAGGGUGACCGGCGACAUUGCUACUGAGAGACGGCGCAGACGGCUACGGGAGGCAGCAGUGGAGAGUAUUGCACAGUGGGGGGGAGCCUGAGACAACGGCGCCGCGUGCGGAAAGACGGCCUUCGGGUGAUGAACCGCUUUCGCCUGUGACGAAGCGUGAGUGACGGUAAUGGGUAAAGAAGCACCGGCUAACUACGUG
rnacentral:rRNA from 1 species